rnacentral:rRNA from 1 species
AGAGUUUGAUCAUGGCUCAGAACGAACGCUGGCGGCAUGCCUAACACAUGCAAGUCGAACGAAGCCUUCGGGCUUAGUGGCGCACGGGUGCGUAACGCGUGGGAAUCUGCCCUUGGGUUCGGAAUAACAGUUAGAAAUGACUGCUAAUACCGAAUGAUGUCUUCGGACCAAAGAUUUAUCGCCCAAGGAUGAGCCCGCGUCGGAUUAGCUAGUUGGUGAGGUAAAAGGCUCACCAAGGCGACGAUCCGUAGCUGGUCUGAGAGGAUGAUCAGCCACACUGGGACUGAGACACGGCCCAGACUCCUACGGGAGGCAGCAGUGGGGAAUAUUGGACAAUGGGCGAAAGCCUGAUCCAGCAAUGCCGCGUGAGUGAUGAAGGCCUUAGGGUUGUAAAGCUCUUUUACCCGGGAUGAUAAUGACAGUACCGGGAGAAUAAGCCCCGGCUAACUCCGUG